rnacentral:rRNA from 1 species
GCGGUCUCUUUCGGGAGACAGCGGCGGACGGGUUAGUAACGCGUGGGAACGUGCCCUUUAGUACGGAAUAGCCAUUGGAAACGAUGAUUAAUACCGUAUACGCCCUAUGGGGGAAAGAUUUAUCGCUAAAGGAUCGGCCCGCGUUAGAUUAGGUUGUUGGUGGGGUAAUGGCCUACCAAGCCUACGAUCUAUAGCUGGUUUGAGAGGAUGAUCAGCAACACUGGGACUGAGACACGGCCCAGACUUCUACGGAAGGCAGCAGUAGGGAAUCUUGGACAAUGGGCGAAAGCCUGAUCCAGCCAUGCCGCGUGAGUGAUGAAGGCCCUAGGGUUGUAAAACUCUUUCGCCAGGGAAGA